UCUCCCUUCCUCACAGAUCUGGAUCGGAGGGGGCUCACUGGCGUCUCCCCUCAACGCCGACCACCAGAAACCUCCACCGGCUGGCCACCGCGCUCCACCGGCUGAGGGGAGGCUUGGUCGCGCCGCCACCAGCCCCCACCACGACAUCCCGCCUACCGUCCUAUUGCUCCUUCCCCUACCGGAUCCAGUCCCAUCGUCGUUGUUCCCCUCCGUCGUCGACGGGAUACGGCCUCUGCGUCGACGGGAUGGCCAUCAUCCUCGACGAGAUGCGGCCGUCGUCUCCUUCCUCUGAUGUCGUCCGAGUAUAUUCCCCUUCGUCCUGAUUAAACCCAUUCCCUCCCACUUGCUUGUUUGAUGAUGAUAAAAUAAGACAAAAAUAAGAAGCAACUGAGAAAAGGUUUAGCAUGCACCUGAUUACCAUCGCACAGAUUACACCGGAUUCUUGUUGCUUUUGUUCUUGACGCAUUUCUGAACGCAGGAGGGAAGUUACAAGGGAAGGGAAAGCACUAGCUAGCAGGGACCUACUUCAUGCGUGUUGCAAGACCAGCAUAGGCUGGAGUUCUACCGUUGCUUUGGUCGCGGUGCUAGUGAAUUUUUGUGUUGAUGCAUAUGUUGUUGCUCCUAUGGAGUGUUGCUGAAUUUUCUUUUCCUACUGAAGAUGGUGCUAUGUAUGUGCUUUGGGCUGUUGAAUAUGCUACUGAAUUUUAGCAAAAGAAGAAGCGAAGGUAUUGUGUUUGGGCAGCUAUAAUAUGCUACUAAUUUUUUGUUGGCGUUAACAAUAAUUAUAGUUGCACACAUAAUAGUUCUGAGUUGGAUAUGAUCAUUUCAGAUCUGUAGUCGAUUUGGCGCGUAUCGCUCUGCAGCCGAUUUUUGAUGCUCUACAGGUACUAGUGGAUUCAGCUGAUUUGAGCUCUGUAGUUUAUCUAAGUACUGAACAUGCUGGCCCAUCUGUUGGAAUACAUCAAGUUUUCAAAAAAUUCAGACUUUUAUUGUUCUAUUUUCUGAAGAAACUACAUUGCUGCACAUGCGCGCCGUGGAGUUGCACAUUUUUGUUGGCAUCUAUAGUAAUUUUAAUUACGCACAUAUUUGUUCUCAGUUGGAUACGAUCAUUGGAAAGUUGCACACACAGCGAUCAUUUUUUAUUGGCAUCUAUA
rnacentral:lncRNA from 1 species